AAAUCAAAACGAAAACAACUAAAAACCAUCGGACACAGACACACCGGCAAUGCAUCAGACCACUUGAAGCUCACUUCAAACCCAACUUUCAUCAAUGGAAGCUUUACUUUGCAGAAAGAUCGGUGAUCCAACGGUCCCACUCUCGGAAGCUUCACCGAUAUUCAUAUCAACCUCUUAUCCAAUCCCUGUUUUGGAUUCUUCGACCGCUGUUAGAGUAAGGGUGAAAUCUACCAGCCUAAACUACGCGAAUUAUCUGCAAAUAGUUGGGAAAUACCAAGAAAAGCCUCCUCUCCCUUUCAUUCCGGGUUCCGAUUACUCCGGGGUGGUGGAGGCUGUUGGAAAUGAAGUUUCCAAGUUGAAAAUUGGUGAUAGGGUUUGUUCCUUUGCAGCCCUUGGCUCUUUUGCUGAAUAUAUCGUCGCGGAUGAGAAAGAAUUGUUUUUAGUUCCCGAUGGAUGUGAUCUGGUUGCUGCUGGUGCACUCCUUGUUGCAUUUGGAACUUCACAUGUGGCACUUGUUCAUAGAGCAGGAUUAAGCUCUGGCCAAGUUUUGCUUGUUCUGGGUGCAGCUGGUGGUGUUGGGCUUUCAGCUGUGCAGAUUGGAAAAGUUUGUGGUGCCACUGUCAUUGCUGUUGCCAGGGGAGCUGAAAAAGUACAGUUUCUCAAAUCACUUGGCAUUGAUCAUGUUGUUGACAUAAGCAAGGGGAACAUUUUUGGAAGUGUGAAAGAAUUCCUGAAGGCAAGGAAGCUCAAAGGGGUUGAUGUUCUCUAUGAUCCAGUAGGUGGUAAUCUCACAAAAGAAAGCUUGAAACUGUUGAAUUGGGGAGCAAAUAUCCUGGUCAUAGGGUUUGCAAGUGGAGAGGUCCCUGUCAUCCCAGCAAAUAUUGCACUUGUUAAGAACUGGACAAUACAUGGACUGUACUGGGGGAGCUAUAAAAUACAUCAGCCUGGUUUGCUUAAAGAUUCUGUUAAGGAGCUGCUGUCUUGGCUAGCGAAGGGCUUGAUAUCCAUCAAUGUUUUUCAUACUUAUGGUCUAUCAGAGGCCAACCUUGCGUUCUCUGCAAUCAAGGACAGGAAAGUCAUUGGGAAGGUGAUGAUUGCAUUCAACAAUCAGAAGUUUCUGGAAUCUAAGAUAUGAUCAUGGUUGAACUUACAGAACAUUGCCAUUUUAGACUUGAAGUGUGAAAGUCUUGAUGCUCAUCCGCCACUCACAGCUUCUCCAAAUUGCGUUACUGGAGCCGAGAGUAAACAUCAGUGGAACCUGGGAAACCACCAUUUUUAACUGGUCGGAGAAGGGUUAUAUAAUGAAGUCAGCAUUACCGAGAAGGCGAGAACUCGAAUCCGGAUUUCGUCCUCACAAAUUUAAUCCUCACAAUUCGAAUCUGGAUUUCAUCCUCAAAAAAAUUGGUCCUCGCACCGUCUUCACAACAUUUUUAGCCGUAAACUGGUGUCACAACUCCCAGUAUCAUUAAGGUUUAUACUUGGAGACUGAGCAGAAUGGGGGCAGAGAGAGAACAGAGGGGACGAUCAGAGAACCCAGUUUCAUUAAGGUUUGUGCCUGGAGACUGAGCAGAAUGGGGGGAGAGAGAGAGAGAAUGAAGGGGACGAAGAGAGAAAGAGAGGGAGGGAGAGAUGAGGUUACUUAGUGGUGGCGUGUUUGCAAAUAAUGGGCAUUUUAACAACAAUUGAAAAGAGAGGUUACUGAGUGAUUCCAGUUAUCGCACAUCAGGCCUUGACUGUACAACAUUUCCUUUUAGUAUAGAUAGUAACCUUUUGUUUUCAACUCAUAAAAUGAUGAAAAAAAUUUAGGAUAAGAUAAUAUUAAAUGGUUUAUUGGUUAGUGGUUAGUGACAAUGAAAUUGAGGUUACCUCAAAGAAAGCUGAGUGAGGCUACUCUCAGUCAGAGUUGAUAUAGUGCCAAAAUCACCCAAAUGGUGUUAAAUUCGAGGCAACUGUAAAUUUGAUAAUAGAUUAUGAGAAGAACAGUCCAACAUUUAUACUAUUGUAAA